UCCUACGGGAGGCAGCAGUGAGGAAUAUUGCGCAAUGGGCGAAAGCCUGACGCAGCAACGCCGCAUGAGUGAUGAAGGCUUUCGGGUCGUAAAGCUCUGUCGAGGGGAAAGAAGUGUACGGGGGCUAAUAUCCUUUGUACUUGACGGUACCCCUAAAGGAAGCACCGGCUAACUCCGUGCCAGCAGCCGCGGUAAUA
rnacentral:rRNA from 1 species